GAUGAACGCUGGCGGCGUGCCUAAUACAUGCAAGUCGAGCGAACAGACGAGGAUCUUGCUCCUCUGACGUUAGCGGCGGACGGGUGAGUAACACGUGGAUAACCUACCUAUAAGACUGGGAUAACUUCGGGAAACCUGAGCUAAUACCGGAUAAUAUAUUGAACCGCAUGGUUCAAUAGUGAAAGACGGUUUUGCUGUCACUUAUAGAUGGAUCCGCGCCGCAUUAGCUAGUUGGUAAGGUAACGGCUUACCAAGGCAACGAUGCGUAGCCGACCUGAGAGGGUGAUCGGCCACACUGGAACUGAGACACGGUCCAGACUCCUACGGGAGGCAGCAGUAGGGAAUCUUCCGCAAUGGGCGAAAGCCUGACGGGGCAACGCCGCGUGAGUGAUGAAGGUCUUCGGAUCGUAAAACUCUGUUAUUAGGGAAGAACAAAUGUGUAAGUAACUAUGCACGUCUUGACGGUACCUAAUCAGAAAGCCACGGCUAACUACGUG
rnacentral:rRNA from 1 species